rnacentral:rRNA from 1 species
CCGGCACGGGUGAGUAACACGUAUCCAACCUGCCGUCUACUCUUGGCUAGCCUUCUGAAAGGAAGAUUAAUCCAGGAUGGCAUCAUGAGUUCACAUGUCCGCAUGAUUAAAGGUAUUUUCCGGUAGACGAUGGGGAUGCGUUCCAUUAGAUAGUAGGCGGGGUAACGGCCCACCUAGUCAACGAUGGAUAGGGGUUCUGAGAGGAAGGUCCCCCACAUUGGAACUGAGACACGGUCCAA